UUUUUUUUUUUUUGCCAAAAACCCACCUAGAUUUCUUUCAGUGAAACUCAAUACCAAAUGCAAAGAUAAAACUCUUAAAAGAAUCAAUGAGUACCUAACUUGAAUAUAAGCUGAUAGCAGAUUUUUUGCAAUGUUAGAGCCCACAUGACAAUGGAAUAAUAUCUUUGAAGUAUUGAAGAAAAAUAACUCUCAACCUAGAAUUCUACAUCCAACCUAGCUAUUUUAAGAGUAAGGGGGAGUUCCCGUCGUGGCGCAGUGGUUAACGAAUCUGACCAGGAACCAUGAGGUUGCGGGUUCGGUCCCUGCCCUUGCUCAGUGGGUUGACGAUCCGGCAUUGCCGUGAGCUGUGGUGUAGGUUGCAGACGCAGCUCGGAUCCCGAGUUGCUGUGGCUCUGGCGUAGGCUGGCAGCUACAGCUCCGAUUCGACCCCUAGCCUGGGAACCUCCAUAUGCCACGGGAGCAGCCCAAGAAAUGGCAAAAAGACAAAAAAAAAAAAAAAAAAAAUUGAGUAAGGGCCCUCGGAGUUGCCAUUGUGGCUCAACAGGUUAAGAAGCUGACAUAGUGUCCAUGAGGAGGUGGGUUCCAUCCCUGGCCUCUCCCAGUGCUUUAAGUCUCCAGUGUUGCCAUGAGCUGUGGUGUAGGUCAAAGAUGCUGCUCAGAUCUCAAGUUGCUGUGGCCACGGUGUAGGCUGGCAGCUGUAACUCCAAUUCGACCCCGAGCCCGGGAACUUCCAUAUGUCACUGGUGUGGCCCUAAAAAGACGAAAAUAAGAAGAAAAUAAUGGCAGAGUAGAGGGACGUGGAGCUCACCUCUUCCUGCAAAUAUAUAAAAAAUAUACCCACACAUGGAACAAUUCUCACAGAACACAUACUGAAUGCUAGCAGGUGAAUUCAAACACCUGAAAGGACAAGAAUUCUCUCACGUAACGUGGUGGGAUGAAAGGGAAAAAAAAAAAAAAAAGAGGAAACAGGACGGGACCUGCACCCCUGGGAAGGAGCUGAAAAAUGAGUAAAGGAGGUGGAUUUGGGUCAAACAUUUUCUAGUCAGAAUAAAAGCGAUGGUGCUGAUUUUUGGCUUGCUGAUAAAUAUAAGUAUGGUAAGAGGUGGUGCAUGUUAGUUGGAAAAUAUCUUAAGAGGAACUCCCAAUUUCUACUGUAUAGCAAAGUGACUCAGUUAUGUGUGUGUGUGUGUGUGUGUGUGUGUAGGUAUAUAUUCUUUUUUAAUAUUCUUUUCCAUCAUGCUCUAUCUCAGGAGAUUGGAUACAGUUCCCUGUGCUAUGCGGUAGGAACUUAUUUAUUACAUAAAUCAAUUUUAGAUUAUGUGUAGUAAGUUUGGUUUCAAGUGUGAGAAUAAAACCUGAAAUAGUCACGGUCAGGGCAGUGAAUUUCAAAUAAUAAGGCAUAGGCAUUUGUGGAAUAUUGUUGGAGAUACGGAAAGCUGCAAGAGGGUUUCUGACUCGUGGUUGAAUGGAAUUGAUUAGGAGUGGUUUAUUUUCACUGAUUAGAAUUAAUGGAGCAGCAAGGUUGUCCUAGGAGAGUGAAGAAAAUCAUUCAAGUGCUAUAGGCAGCUGUGAGGGUGCAGCAAUGAGAGUAGUUAAUAGGGCUCAGGCACUGGAUGCAUGUUAGCAGUUUCUGUCAUUAAGUCUUUGGAAUAAAAACCUGUGAGCAGUGGUAGUCCUGUUCAUUAACUUGAGGCUUCCGAAAAUGAGGGAUGUUGCGGGAAAAGGUACGGCUUGAAUUAAACCUCUUCUUUUUCUUAUGUCUUGUUCAUCUUGGAAAUUGUGGAUAAUUUGGGAGUUCCUGCAGUUAUCGAACCCAACUAGUAUUCAUGAGGACAUGGGAUCAAUCCCUGGCCUUGCUCAGUGGGUUAAGGAUCUGGCAUUGCCAUGAGCUGUGGGGUAGGUCGCAGGCGCGGCCCAGAUCCAUUGCUGCUGUGGCUGUGGUGUAGGCUGGCAGCCGUAGCUCCAAUUUGACCCCCAGCCUGAGAACCUCCAUAUGCCGCAGGUGCGACCCUAAAAAAAAAGACAAAAAAAAAAAAAAAAAAAAAAGAAAUAGUGGAUGAUGGGUCCAGAGCAUAUAGACAAUAUGACUUUGAAGAUUGUGUGUGUGCAUGCCAGUGUGUAAGAAUGCUAAAUAAGGUUGAUUAAUGCUGAUUGUUACCCUGAAAAGGCCUAGUUGGCCUGAAAUAGAGAAAGCAACAAUAUUUGGAUGCUGUUUUGUGGGUGAGCCUAUAUUGCUGUAAAUAGUGCGGUAAUUGCUUCUAAACACAAAGUUGUUGCCUAACUGAAUUUAAUAUUUUCCAGUAGGGAGUGAAAUUGAAUAAGUAGAAAAAUGUGUACUGCAAUGCCUGUGCUUAUGUUGGGUAGGGCCUUCCAUUGCUGAAGGAAGUCAAAGGUAGAGGCCAAAUUGGUGGAUUUUCCAGUUGCGGUUAGUAAAAGUCCUAUGAAGGGUAAGCUGGGGUAGUUGAAGGGUAAGCUGGGGUAGUUGAGGUUAAGUAUAAAAACUUGUCAUAAAGCCCAUGUGUCUAAAUUGAAAAAGAAUCAUGCUAUUGAUGUAAUGAAUCCAGUAUCUCCCAUGUGGUUACAUAAGUUUACUUGGGAGUUCCCUGGUGGCCUAGCAGGUUAAGGACCAGCAUUGUCAUUGCUGCAGCUUGAUCCCUGGCCUAGGAACUUGUGCAUGCUCCAGGUGAGGCAAAAAAAACAAAACAAAAAACUUGAAGAGCAGCUGUAUUUGUGUCUGCCAUGUGCCUAUCCAAUAAGUGAAAGAUACAUCAUUUCAUCUCCUCAUCCUAGGAAAAGUUGGAAAAGACUGUUGGCAGUGACAAGAAUUAGUUUUGUAAUUAGAGGAGUUUCCAUCACGGCUCAGUGGAAACGAAUCCAACUAGUGUCCAUGAGGACACAGGUUCGAUCCCAGGCCUCACUCAGUGGGUUAAGGAUCUGGCGUUGCCCUGAGCAGUGGUGUAGGUCACAGAUCCGACUCAGAUCUGGCAUUGUUGUGGCUAUGGCAUAGGGCAGCAGCUACAGCUGUUUCCCUUAGUCUGGGAACCUCCGUAUGCCGCAAGUAUGGCCCUAAAAAGAUGAAAAAAAAAAAAAAAA
rnacentral:lncRNA from 1 species